rnacentral:rRNA from 1 species
AUUGAACGCUGGCGGCAGGCUUAACACAUGCAAGUCGAGCGGGGUGAGGUGCUUCGGUACUGAUCCUAGCGGCGGUCGGGUGAGUAAUGCUUAGGAAUCUGCCAUUUAGUGGGGGACAACAUUCCGAAAGGAAUGCUAAUACCGCAUACGUCCUACGGGAGAAAGCAGGGGAUCUUCGGACCUUGCGCUAAAUGAUGAGCCUAAGUCGGAUUAGCUAGUUGGUGGGGUAAAGGCCUACCAAGGCGACGAUCUGUAGCGGGUCUGAGAGGAUGAUCCGCCACACUGGGACUGAGACACGGCCCAGACUCCUACGGGAGGCAGCAGUGGGGAAUAUUGGACAAUGGGCGGAAGCCUGAUCCAGCCAUGCCGCGUGUGUGAAGAAGGCCUUUUGGUUGUAAAGCACUUUAAGCGAGGAGGAGGCUACCUGGAUUAAUACUCUGGGAUAGUGGACGUUACUCGCAGAAUAAGCACCGGCUAACUCUGUGCCAGCCGCCGCAGUAA